ACAGCUACCUCCAGCGAAUUCAAGACCUCAACGUGCUUAAGAAUUUAGUAUUACACCCCCCCCCCCCGAAUUGAUACAGUGCUACAGGAUGAAGACAUUUCUUGUUCUUCUGAUCAUCGGCCUAAUUUAGGUGGAAACUUUUGCCAGACAGAAACGAAAUGCUGACAAAGGAGAUAAAGACGAUAAUAACAAAAGUAAGAAUACCGAUGAUGACCAAACUAGUGCAGGUAGCGAUGACAGCAAUAAGGGAGAACGUCAGAGGAGAAGCGCAGAUAACGGCGGCAACAGUAAGGCGAGUAAGGAGAAAGAUGAUGGGAGAUAAAGAGGAAGAAUUAUCGUCAAUGUAAAGAAGGAUGCUGAAAUUGAAAAGGAAAUGACUCAUGAAUUAGCAAAAAGAUAAACCCUUUCUCUGAAAUUCAGAAAGUAUAUCACUGAUUCAACUUACUGUAUUGUAUUGUUGUGAUAAGUUCAUUGUAGAUUCGUGGACUAUUUCAUAACUCUAGCUGCUAAUCUUUGUUUACAUGUAGUAUGUAUAUUGUAUGUAUAUUGUAGUCUAUAAGAUAUAUAUGGAUAGAAUGUGAAUUGCUGAUAUGCUGAAGGAACCCACGUGGUUCUUACAGUUGUCAGCUUCAUUUUACUACUGCAGUACUAGCUUUAUUCAAAUGUACAAUUAUCUGUGUAUUUGAGACUGUGUAUAUUUGUUCUAGAACAGCUAUCUAUUGAUUUAUUUGUUUUAAACAUCAAUAUAAUGCAAUAUAGGGACAAAAUACAGCGAAUUAUAAAAUUG